CUUCUUUCUUCUCUGUGUCUUUCAAAACAUAGCAGCAUCAAUCGAUGUCAAGAGCUUUUCUUUGCUUUUGUCCUCUGGACAAAACUCCAUUUUUUUUUAUGAGACCCAGAGGCCUCCCCUCAAUUUCUGGCAUUUGAUUGUACUUGGAAGAGAUUGUAAUUUCUGGCAUUUGAUUGUAAUCUCAAUUGGAGGGUCCGGAUUUUUCCUUCUGCAGAGUGGUUGCUUAGGAUUUGAUGGACGAUGGGCUCGAGACAGAAAAGGGCUGUAAGGAUGGGGAAGGUCAAUAUUUCAUCUCCACUAUCUGAUGUGAAUUUCUAGAAUGCAGAUAUAUGUUCGGAGGAAAAAUGGCCACUUGUGAAAAACAACUGGUGAGUGAAAAUGAAGGAAUAUGAAAACUUGAAGUUGACAUCUCUAAGAAGUAGUUAAAGCUGGAAAUGACCAUACAUUGGGUUUUGUUACUGGUGGGUCUGCUCAUGUGCAAAUGCAACUUAGCACCAAAGAGUGUGAGAGUCUGGGAUUAACUGGUCUGGCUCUCUGCUUAGACUGCAACACCUUUGCUGAGUAUGUCAAGGACCAAGCUGCAGCCGGGGAAAACUUCAUUGACAGAGUUUUCAUUAUGGGUCUAUAGAGACUGCAUUUUGGAGAUCUCUUUUGUAUGUGGAUAGGAUUAUAUGUUAUUUUAAAGUUUCUUUUAUGCAAAAAAAAAAAAAGAAAAAGAA